AUCAUUAUUUAAAUUUCAGAUUAGAAUGUUCUAGGCUUUCAUUCUCUAGUCUGGGAUUAAACCAGGAUGGGAAAAAUGAUUCCCGGCCUGUUCUCCAGGUUUACCCGGAGAAAACAGCUGAACUCUUCUGAGUCAGAUAGCAAGCUUGCUCGUUGUUUGAACACUGUAGACCUUACACUACUUGGAGUAGGAUCGACCCUAGGAGUAGGAGUUUAUGUUCUGGCCGGGGGAGUAGCUAGAGAUUCAGCAGGUCCUAGUGUUGUUCUAUCAUUCCUGAUAGCUGGGAUUGCCUCUGCCCUGAGUGGACUGUGCUACGCUGAAUUCGGAGCCAGGGUUCCUAAGGCUGGUAGUGCAUAUAUCUACAGUUAUGUUACAGUCGGAGAACUUUCAGCUUUCGUGAUCGGUUGGAACCUUAUCCUCGAGUACGUUAUUGGAACAGCCAGUGUUGCGAGAGCUUACUCAGGAUAUCUGGACAGUUUGCUUAACAACACGAUGAAGACGACAUUUAGAGAAUAUAUGCCGAUGAACGCUCCCUUCCUUGCAGAUUAUCCAGAUUGGACUGCGUUUUCGAUAACCCUACUUCUUGCCCUGGUCCUGAGUAUUGGGGUUCAGGAGUCCACUAGGUUUAAUAACAUCUUCACCGUCCUCAACCUGGCCGUCGUCGGGUUCGUCAUCAUUGCCGGGGUCACCCAUUCUGAUCUCAACAACUGGAGUUUAGACGUUCAGCCAGGUUCAGAGAAAAAGUUAGGUUCCGGAGGAUUUUUCCCGUUUGGUUUAAGUGGGACGCUUAGCGGAGCUGCAACAUGUUUCUAUGGAUUCGUUGGGUUUGAUGCUAUUGCAACAACCGGUGAAGAAACAAGAAAUCCGCAGAAAAGUAUCCCUAUUGCUAUCGUUGUAUCUCUACUUGUCGUCUGCUUGGCCUAUAUGGGGAUAAGUAGUGUGUUGACCCUUAUGCUACCCUACUAUCUUCAGGAUGUAGAUGCUCCUCUUCCGCAUGUUUUCCGUGAGGUUGGAUUACCCUCAGCUGCCUGGGUUGUGGCGGUUGGAGCUCUGUUCGGCCUCUCGACCUCUCUUUUAGGCGCCAUGUUUCCGUUGCCUCGUAUAGUUUACGCUAUGGCGAAUGAUGGCUUACUUCCACGCUGUCUUGGAUCCGUUCAUUCAUACUUCAAGACUCCACUCUUAGCUACCCUUUUAGCAGGUCUUUUAUCUGGCUUGAUGGCUUUAACCUUUAAUCUGGCCCAGUUGGUGGAUAUGAUGUCCAUAGGAACGUUGAUGGCUUAUACCAUGGUUAGUCUCUCUGUUCUACUUCUCAGGUACCGGGCCACGGAUAUAGGGGGAGACUACACUCCUUUAUCUACCCAGGAUCCUUAUGAGUCAGAGGAAGAACUCUUUCCUCUCCGAACCUCCGAGAAGCUUGUAUUUACACGCCGGGAGUACAUGAGACAAAUGUUGAACCUGGAUAAGUUAUCCCGUCCUACUCCUCUCUCCUCCUACGUCGCAACCCACAGUGCAAUCAUGUUUACAAUCCUUACUAUACCCUUCUGCCUGAUGCCGCAUAUGGUAAAUAUGGAAGUAUGGCACGCUAAGCUUGGAAUGGUGUUUAUGUCUCUGAAAUUAAUCUCCUGUGUUGUUGUACUCUGUAGACAACCAUCAGAUACUUCUAGUCUAAGCUUCAAGGUUCCGCUAGUUCCUGUUCUGCCCGCAGUAUCUAUACUGACCAAUGUUUUCCUCACGACUAAAUUAUCUCCUGAAACCUGGGUUAGGUUCUCGGUCUGGCUCCUCGUAGGCAUUCUUAUCUACGCUUUCUACGGCUGGAGAAAUAGUUCAGAGGAGUACAGGAUGAAGGGUGAGGUUCCACCUGAGGAGAGAAUGGAAAAGGAGAAACCUAGAUCAGGAUCCGUCCUGCAGUAAGACCAAACCUGGAAUCAGAUCAUCAUUUCUUCUUUGUUAAAAUAUCCUCAGUCCUUCUAAUUUGUUUUACAAUACAAUUCAAGCUUUUGAAAUACUAAAUUCGUCCUCCAUGUGAUGUAAAAAAGUCAAAUUGUCCAAAUAUCGGGUUCAAAGUUUCAGCAGAGAAAGAUUAACAAUGCAGGAGAUAAUUAAUUUCUAAUGUCAUCCAAUAUUGAGUUUAUUAUUAAAAUUAUCUUUUUGUUGUACCUUGUUUUGGUGAACAUUUGAAAAAGAAAUCGACUUAAAAAUCAUCCUUUACAGGCACAAAAUAAAAAUUGUAUCUACACUUAGUAAUUAGCUGUUAAAACUUUAAAAAAAUUUAAACGAUGUUAAACUAAAACUUAUGAUAUUUUCUAUCGAUCUUCUUUAAGAUUUAUAUAAAUUUUAUUAAUAUUUUAUAUUUUUAUUAUUAAUAAUUAAGGCUGGUGAAAAGGUAUGUUCUAUUUAAUAGAUAUAUAUAGAUCUGGUUUUGGAUUUACUUACAGUUGACUUUCAGUUGCAAUCAUGGUUAUUAUUCAUUUUAAUUUCUAGAGUUAUCCAUCUUUUAUUUUCUCAUUUUAACUCCUCAUCUUACAAUUACAUUUAAGGAAAAUGUUUUAAAAGCCUGGCUCUGUGCAGUGUGCAUACUGCUACAUACGAUACACAUUUCCUUGUUAACAAUAAUUUGUAUUUCUGGAGAUCUGUUUAAAAUCUCGAAAUCCUGAUUGUCCACCGCACUGUUGCAUUUUAUUUCAUACUGUGAUUUACCGAACCCAAGUAUUUAUUGUAUUGUAUAUUUUUUAUUGAAAUUUUUAUGACUGUAUUUAUUAUACAUGUGUUUGAUUGAAACGUGUUUAUGUAUUUUGUAAGAUUUAAGCUAAAAUGUGGCAAUGCCACUAUCGAAAAUUUUAACUCAAUUUCAACGCAUAAAUAUCGUGGAUUUUAUGUGCAAAAAUAUUUUUUAAUCCUUUGGGGAAGCACAAAAUAUGCCACACUAAACUUGGGAUGUUGUUAAGUGAUUUCUGUUGUAUAAUAUUUUAACGCUACCGAAUAUUAUUGUAUUUUUGUUGCCAAUAUACAACAGAUAUAAAAUGGAUGCUGCUUAAUCAUUUGCUGCUGAAGCACAAAAACGUUGUAUUAGAUGUAAACAAACAUUUUCUACAUUUUUCAUUGUAACAUUGGCUGCAUAAUAUAUAUGUACUAUGUUGCUAUGUGGUUUUAUUUUGCCAUUUACCAUGCCGACUAAAUUUUACAAAUGAAUGUUUCAGA
rnacentral:misc_RNA from 1 species